rfam:Ictidomys tridecemlineatus contig014081, whole genome shotgun sequence.
GGGGGUGUAGCUCAGUGGUAGAGCACUUGCCUAGCAUAUAUGAAGCACUGGGUUCAAUUCUCAGUACCACAU